rnacentral:rRNA from 1 species
AUUGAACGCUGGCGGCAGGCCUAACACAUGCAAGUCGAACGGUAACAGGAAGAAGCUUGCUUCUUUGCUGCCGAGUGGCGGACGGGUGAGUCAUGUCUGGGAAACUGCCUGAUGGAGGGGGAUAUCUACUGGAAACGGUAGCUAAUACCGCAUAACGUCGCACGACCAAAGAGGGGGACCUUCGGGCCCCUUGCCCUCGGAUGUGCCCUGAUGGGAUUAGCUAGUAGGUGGGGUAACGGCUCAACUAGGCGCCGAUCCCUAGCUGGUCUGAGAGGAUGACCAGCCACACUGGAACUGAGACACGGUCCAGACUCCUACGGGAGGCAGCAGUGGGGAAUAUUGCACAAUGGGCGCAAGCCUGAUGCAGCCAUGCCGCGUGUAUGAAGAAGGCCUUCGGGUUGUAAAGUACUUUCAGCGGGGAGGAAGGAAGUAAAGUUAAUACCUUUGCUCAUUGACGUUACCCGCAGAAGAAGCACCGGCUAACUCCGUG